rnacentral:rRNA from 1 species
CAAUAGCGUAUAUUUAAGUUGUUGCAGUUAAAAAGCUCGUAGUUGGAUUUCGGAUGGGAUCUACCGGUCCGUCUUUGAGAUGUGUACUGGUAGGUCCUAUCUUGUUGUCGGGGACCAGCUCCUGGGCUUCACUGUCCGGGACUGGGAGCCGACGAAGUUACUUUGAGUAAAUUAGAGUGUUCAAAGCAAGCCUACGCUCUGAAUAUAUUAGCAUGGAAUAACACGAUAGGACUCUGGCUUAUCUUGUUGGUCUGUGAGACCAGAGUAAUGAUUAAGAGGGACAGUCGGGGACAUUCGUAUUUCAUUGUCAGAGGUGAAAUUCUUGGAUUUAUGAAAGACGAACUUCUGCGAAAGCAUUUGUCAAGGAUGUUUUCAUUAA